rnacentral:rRNA from 1 species
GACGAACGCUGGCGGCGUGCCUAAUACAUGCAAGUAGAACGCUGAAGAGAGGAGCUUGCUCUUCUUGGAUGAGUUGCGAACGGGUGAGUAACGCGUAGGUAACCUGCCUUGUAGCGGGGGAUAACUAUUGGAAACGAUAGCUAAUACCGCAUAACAAUGGAUGACACAUGUCAUUUAUUUGAAAGGGGCAAUUGCUCCACUACAAGAUGGACCUGCGUUGUAUUAGCUAGUAGGUGAGGUAAUGGCUCACCUAGGCGACGAUACAUAGCCGACCUGAGAGGGUGAUCGGCCACACUGGGACUGAGACACGGCCCAGACUCCUACGGGAGGCAGCAGUAGGGAAUCUUCGGCAAUGGGGGCAACCCUGACCGAGCAACGCCGCGUGAGUGAAGAAGGUUUUCGGAUCGUAAAGCUCUGUUGUAAGUCAAGAACGGGUGUGAGAGUGGAAAGUUCACACUGUGACGGUAGCUUACCAGAAAGGGACGGCUAACUACGUGCCAGCAGCCGCGAUAAUACGUAGGUCCCGAGCGUUGUCCGGAUUUAUUGGGCGUAAAGCGAGCGCAGGCGGUUUGAUAAGUCUGAAGUUAAAGGCUGUGGCUCAACCAUGGUUCGCUUUGGAAACUGUCAAACUUGAGUGCAGAAGGGGAGAGUGGAAUUCCAUGUGUAGCGGUGAAAUGCGUAGAUAUAUGGAGGAACACCGGUGGCGAAAGCGGCUCUCUGGUCUGUAACUGACGCUGAGGCUCGAAAGCGUGGGGAGCGAACAGGAUUAGAUACCCUGGUAGUCCACGCCGUAAACGAUGAGUGCUAGGUGUUGGAUCCUUUCCGGGAUUCAGUGCCGCAGCUAACGCAUUAAGCACUCCGCCUGGGGAGUACGACCGCAAGGUUGAAACUCAAAGGAAUUGACGGGGGCCCGCACAAGCGGUGGAGCAUGUGGUUUAAUUCGAAGCAACGCGAAGAACCUUACCAGGUCUUGACAUCCCGAUGCUAUUUCUAGAGAUAGAAAGUUACUUCGGUACAUCGGUGACAGGUGGUGCAUGGUUGUCGUCAGCUCGUGUCGUGAGAUGUUGGGUUAAGUCCCGCAACGAGCGCAACCCCUAUUGUUAGUUGCCAUCAUUCAGUUGGGCACUCUAGCGAGACUGCCGGUAAUAAACCGGAGGAAGGUGGGGAUGACGUCAAAUCAUCAUGCCCCUUAUGACCUGGGCUACACACGUGCUACAAUGGUUGGUACAACGAGUUGCGAGUCGGUGACGGCGAGCUAAUCUCUUAAAGCCAAUCUCAGUUCGGAUUGUAGGCUGCAACUCGCCUACAUGAAGUCGGAAUCGCUAGUAAUCGCGGAUCAGCACGCCGCGGUGAAUACGUUCCCGGGCCU